CAACGUCCCUAGUUCUUUGCGCACUGGCCUGUCCAGGUUUAAUAUUUGCUUUCGUCUCCUCUUCCACCUUAGAACACUACCCUGACCUUGGAGCUGACUAAGACAUCUUGUUUUUUCCUCUUCCUGGAAGGCCCAGCCCCCCAGAGGCCUUCCACAGGGCAGUCCGGCAAGGGGAUGCAGCGGAGGAGGCCUGCUGGCCGUCCAACCAUACUUCAAACCCCGUGGCUACAAUUGGCAGCCUGAGAGGGAAGGACCCCACCCAGCCCAGGAGUUUGGAACGAAUCCUUUGUUUCUCUGGGGUGGUGCUUGUCAGCAGCCGGGGGUCCCUCUCAGGGCCUGUAGCUAAGCCUGGUCUGGUGAACUCCACUCAAUCCCGCCCUGGAGCCUCCCCCAUCCACAAACGAGCCCCUCAGGACAACCUGCCUAAACCAAGCUCGUCAUUCGUCACUUCCCCUGCCCUGACGGCCUCUUCCUUUGUCCCAGAUUCCUACACCCAGGAGCGGCACUGUCCUUUCAGCUGGCCAAGCCAGAAACCCGGAGCUCACAGCCCUCCUUAUGAGCCCACCCGGAUACCUGGCACCCCAGACCUCUCUGCCACCCUUCCAGGGCCUACACGGACGGCCCGCGUCCAUCCUCCCGAGGGUGGACGGUCCUGUUGGCGGGUGUGUGCACUUCCAAGCCUAAGAGCAUUGUUAAGAUGUCACUGAGUGUCAUCUGAAAAUAGAAACGCCGCCCAGGCCUACCAUGGAAACGCUUUUGCCUCCCCGACUCCCCACCCGCCUGCGAAUGGAAGCUGCUGUCACCCGAACGCCUGUUCAGCCACCAAGAGAGAGCUGGUGCUUCCUGAGAGUGCCCGUGCACCAAGCACCGGGUCCAGCUCGUUACAGACGUGAUCACAUCAUUUUAUAAUCACCAACUCUCGGGAGCAGCGGGAUGCUGAGGGUCAGGGUGAUGGUAAUUUGCUCAGUGUCACAGGCUAAUAAGUGAGGGGGCUGGUCUCUGCAUCUGAUUCCAGGAGCCGGUUUCAUGAGUUCUCCAGGGAGCGCUUGACCAGGAAGCCGACGAACUCACGAGCCCUUACUUUUUCUUCCUCCAUCUCUUCAUCCGAUCAAAUAAUCAAGUAUAGGAAGAGCCAACAUUAUUUGAGCUGCCAUUGUAGGCCCAGCUCUGUGCUGAGCUUUCUUACACGUUCAGGUCUUACCUCCAUUUUAUCAGUCACGAAACCGAGGUUCAGAGAGGUUAAGCAACUUGCCCAAAGACACACAGCGAUGAAGAAGUUGGAGCAGGACUCCAAGGCCGGAGAUCCCCAUGCCCACCAGCCAGGCCGUAUGCCAGGCUGUGUCAGACAGCCUUGACCGAUGUCUAGGCCCAGGGCUCAAGGCGCUCCUAGGGAGAAUUUGGUAGUCUUUUUCUUGGAAAGCUGUUUCGGAAAACUCAAGCCUGGUCACCCCUUUCUUCAAAAGAGGCCAAGCCAAGUGGCGGUGGGGUGUCCUCACCUCACUGUGCUCUCAUGAUGGGCCAGCUCACCUGGCCUCUGUGAGGGCCCACUUCAGUGGGGAGAGGGGCCCUCGGGGGAUAGAGCUGCUGAGGUGCCCAGCCUUGCUGUCAGUUCCUGGGGAGCCUGGAUGGAAGAGGCUGGCCUGGUUCCUUCCCUCCCUGGUUGUCCUGGGUUGACCUGUGUCCCCUUGAAAUUCAUAUGUUGACAUCCUAUCCCUCAGUACCUCAACAUGGGACCUUGUUUGGAGAUGGGGUCUUUACAGAGGUAAUCAAGUUAAAGUGAAAUCAUCAGGGUGGGUCUCCAUUAGGGUAGGGAAAUUGGGACCGACAGACAUUUUCAGAGGGAGGACACACACGUAUGACACCGCCCCCCCCCCCCCCCACACACACACACUCACACACAGAGAACACCAGGAAGAUGCUGGGGAAGAACCCACCAGAAGCUAGGGGAGCGGCAGGAACACAUUCUCCCUCGUGGACCUUGGAAGGCAUGAAUCCCCCCCCCCCCCCCACACACACACCUGGAUCUCAGACUCCCGGCUGAAGAGCUGUGAGACACUACAUUUCUGCUGCUGGAAUGACUCCGUUUGUCACGCACAUCUAGCAAACCAAGGCAUCAGCCUUCCCUACGAGGGGAGGCCUUUGCUUGCCAGCAGUCUGCGGCCCCCGGCCCCUGGCAGAUAAACCACCGAAUAAGUGACAUCCCCAUCCCGUCCUCCUGCCGGCCGCUGAGGGUUACUUUGGCGACUGCCCUCGUUUCUCAGGUGGGGAAGCAGGAAGAGGGGCCAUCUGCCAGGGUGUGGCAGGCCUAGGAUGUAGACCCAAUUCGCUCCUCUUUGGGGCUCAAAUACAUCACUGCCACGCGCCUCUGCUUUCCAGGAGGAACAAAAGUGGCCACCGAGGCACGGGUGCCUUCACUGUCUGGACAGCCACUGGCCACUGGUGCACCAAGCCUUUGUGGAGCCCUCGCCGGCUGCCAUGCCAGGGCCCGCUGGGCUCAGGCCGGCCACGAGCCCCACACCCUGGAGUUUCACUUCCUACAAGGCGCCUGAGGCACCAGUGAGGUGUGCCCUGACCCCCUAUAGAGCAGGAAGCCUCCAGAGAGCCUUCAGCCCAGUCUGCACCCCUCUCCCCAUCACAGCCUCCUGCUUCUCACCACCCCCCCCCCCAACCCAGGGCGGGAGGAGCAAAGGAGACAACGCGUACAAUCCGUUUGGUGCAGUGCUGAACAUACAAUCCAUGCUCAGUAAGUGGAGGCUACCAUUAUUAUUGUUAUUAUGGUUAUUCGUGAUUAUUAGGCGCCCACAUGGCAAGGACGGAGAAGGACAAGAGCGCGACCCUGGGUUCAAUGCCCGGCUCUGUCUCUUCGGGCUGUGUGACUCUGGACAAGUACCCCACCCCUCGGAGCCUCAGUGCCCUCAUCUGUACAGGGGGGAUAACAGCCCUCACCUCGAAGAACUGUCAGAAGAAGUGGAUGAGGAAGCAUGUAUGGAGCUGCCUGGUAGCUGGUUGGAAUGAAAAAGCAAACAAAGACCAUCUCCUGCUGCCAAGCUGCUCCCCUCCUCUCGGGGAGCAUAUCGAACAGAACGAUGCAGGUGAAGGCCCCUGGCACAGAGCGGCUGUUCAGUAGUGUUCGAACCUGAACAGACAAGCCGAGUGUUUGUGGAAGAUGUGUGUUGGUGUUGCACGGGCGUGUGUGUGUCCCUGUGACGCCAUCCUCUGGCCCAGCUCCUCUGGUUCACCCACGCAUAUGGCGUAUUAUGCUUCUGCUCAGGGGACAGAUUAGGAAAGAGAUCUGGCUUAUCUUUCAGGGGUGACAAGGCCUGUCCCAGGCCCUGCCUUGCAGAGGAUCCACUUGCCAACAGCAACCCCCAAGACAAACCUCCGGGGAACCCCUGGGUGCCGUUCUGGGUGGGGUGAAAAGCGGGUUGGUGUUCUCCUUGCUUGUUUGUUGGGUGUGUAACCUCCCAGGAUGGUCAUCUGCUGCUUCUGCUGCCCGGCCCGGUGGGUGAUAAGCACAGGAGAGGGGAAGAUGUUUGUCAUCACUCUGUCUCUGCCCCUGGUCCUCGGGGCCCUCCCCUAGAAGGGAGCUGGCCCCCUGUCUGAUGGGAGCUGGGAGGAGGGGGUGUCCUCAGUGUAAUAGAUGGUGAUACUGAGCCCACAAAGGAGGCACAGUUCAUAAGAAGCUAAAGCAGCAAACGGACCCAGGACCUCUGAUUCCUGUGCAGCUGGCUUUCUGCUAAACUCCCCUCUGCACAGGGAGGACCAACUGGAGGCUGGAGCUGGGGGUUACGUGCUGUCCUCCUUCAGUUACUAUGGGGCAGCAGUCCCACUGCCCCCAGUGGCAGAAACGCCAACCAUCUGUGUCUCCUUAGCACCUGAGUCCCUGCCAUCAGGGCCGAACACCCUGAUGGGGGUGAUGGGGGCCAGGAGUUGCUGGCCGGAUGCUCUCUUUGCCCCAGCCAAUCAAAUGGGUGACCGUGGGCUUUAAUCACGAGGGAUCCAGAGUCCGGCCCCUCUUUCCGCCCAUAUCCCCCCGCUGCCGGCACCCCGCUCUUGCCUGGUUGGCUGCCAGAGCCUCCACGCUGGUCUCCCUGCUGCCUGCCCUGAAAAUCUAUUCUCUGCCCAGCAGCCAGUGGGGCCCUUCCUUCAGAAACAUAAGGCAGAGCCGGUCUCUCCCGGCUCAGAGGCCUGCGAUGGCCCCACCAGGGCAGAGUAAAGGCCCUGUGGUGGUCUGCAAGGCCCCUCUCAGACCUCUUAACCCACACGCCUCCCCCCACUCUGCUCUGGCCCCGCUGGCCCCUCUGCUGCUCCGUCAGCCACUAGCUACAUCCUCUGCUAUGGCUGGGCCCUGAGCCUGGAUCUUUCUCUUCCCGGCUGCGGGCCCGGCUCCUCUUCCAGGAUGCCAGGAUCAUCCCCGGCCCCCACCGCCUCCUUAUUUCAAUUCGGCAACUGCUCCCUGAUCCCUUGCAAGCCGGAUCCCUUUAUCCUGUUUUUCUGUUGGCGGUUUAGUUUGGCUUUGUUUCGCCCGUAGCCCUUAUCACCUAACACAGCACGUAACUUCUUUAUCACCGUUACUGUUUGUUGCCCAUCUCUGCCAACCCUGCCUCUGCUGCAGUGCCAGCUGCUGGAGGGCAGGGGUCUCUGUCCCGUUCACUCAUGUGUCCCCAGCACCUAAAACGGUGCCUAGACCCUAGGAAGGAACUCGUGAAUAUCUGCCGAAGCAGUCAGCGAAUGGCCACAAGAGACAAUGUGGCUGGGUGGAAAGAAGGACUUACUAGGAGAGCCCCAAGGCGAGGUGUGACAGAGGCCUCUAGGGGGGGUCGCUACAGGGUUCCCUCGUGGCUGGAGGCCCAGUCCCACAGUCUCUCCAGGGCUGUCUGCUGCCUAUGAUGAGACCACCGCCCCCUCGAGAGGGAGAACCUCUGGAGAUUCUCCUUCCACGUGGAAGGAAAAGAACGGACUCUGGAAUCGGUGGGACCUGGGCAAGGACCUCGGCUUCUGGACUGCCUUGCUGUUGUUGCCUCGCUGUUCCUCGUCUGUGAAGUGGGGUGAUGGCUCCAGCUCAGGGAGGUGUCAGAGUCGGCACACCCAUUAUUGCCCCCGUCUUUGCCGGCCCGGCACAUGCAUGAUCUCACUCGGCAGCGCAGGGGGAGCGGGGGACUCCUGUCGUUUCCGUUUUACAGUUGAGGAAACCAAGGAUCCGAGGGGCGGAGUCACUUGUCCAAGGUCACACGGCAAUGGAGCACACAGGGACGGAGCUGGGAUCGGAACCCAAGCCCGUCAGAUUCCAGGGCACCCCCCAGUGGUAAUGUACCUGGUUAGUGAGGGUAACUUGGCCGGUUCCGCACAUACACCACGUCCUCUAAAAUCCUCCUCAACCAUUCUGAGGUGUUAAGUAAUAUCAUCAUCCCAUUUUAUAGGUGAGAGGCGGGGCAACUUGCCCAUCAUCCCAGAACUGCCAAGAGGUGGGAGCAGAGGCUUGAAGGCAAAUCUUUCCUGAACAGCAACUAUAUAAGUCGGAUUUCCCCAGGAUGUGAGGCCAUGAGGGGCACUGCUGGGCUAGCUCGCUGCUCUCCUCUCUGUCCCUCGUGGGGUCAAGCGUAGGCCUGUGUGGCUGGCUGGGUGGGGCCCUGGUGGUGGAACUCACGCCCAGCCUCACCUGGUCUAGGUGGCCAACCCCUUCCUAGCGGCCUUCUCUAUUGCCCCUGGAGCUCCCUUGCUGCAUUUCUAGUCUAUUCUUUAUCUUUCUGGUUCCUUGGACCAAACCAGGAUGUGAAGGCCACUCCCCUUCUCCCACCAACACUAGCUUAGGCUCACCACCGUCUCCUCAGGAUGAAGACUGCCCUACCUUGUCUCUCUUACUGCCUGUUCCGUAGAUCCAUUUUAACCAGCUUAUGGCGGACCAGCAGACUUCUUUGUCACCGUGGCAGAAGAGGGGGAAUGUAGCUGGCACAGUGCUUGGCACUCAGUAGGCGCUAAAUAAAUGUCUGGCCCUGCCAACCUCUAUGCCUUUCUUUCCUAUCUGCCUCUCCUGGGUUCUCCUUUUAGCCUCACUGUCCUUUUCCCUAUUCCUGGGCAACAUUAAGCUUGUUCCUACCCCAGGGCUUUUGCAUUACUGUUUCCUCUGCCUGGUAUGCGUGUCCCUAAGAUCUCCAACCUCAUUGUCUCCUUUCUGUCAUUUAGGACUCUGCUCAAAUAUCACCUCCUCAAAGACGCUUUCUCUGACCUCCCAGUCUAAGGUUGUGACCCCCCAGCCCUGGUAGCUCUCUACCAGCUGUUUGAUUUUCUUCAUAGUAUUUACCAUUUUCUGAAAUCACAAUAUUAACAUUUAUAUUUUCUUUGCCCUUCUCCAUAAAGGUUUAGCUCCAUGAGUUCAGGGACCUUGAUACUCACAUCUGCCCCUAUGUCCCCAGCCCCAGGAGCCAUGCCCAGUCGGUAGGAAGCAAGCUCUAAGUAUCAGACCAGCACACAAAUGAAGAAACGCAGAAGUUCUGAGGGUAUAAUGUUACGUCCGAAGUGGCUGGCCUUGAGAGAAAAUAGUUCUUCGAGAUUUUACCCUUUAUUUUCUUAAAACUUCAUGUAAGUUUUUCAUUUUGAUGCAUUCUCUCUGUGUUUGUGUUAAUUUUUUUAAUGGGUUUUUUUCCCCUCAAAAAGAUGAGGAAAAUUAUUGAAUGCUCUGGGAAGAUGGAUGUCAUUUCUCCUACAUCCUUGUGAACCCUUGAGCUGUGCUGGAGAAUAAUGGAUCCAGCCCAAGUCCCGGCCAAGUACACAGACUCUGUGUGGGUGAGGCCCUGCCCAUGCGGCGUAGACUGGACCAGCCAUUUGGGAGGACAAUUUGGCAGGAUCCAAUUAAAUGGAAAAUGUUUCGACUCAAAA